UGACGGCCACCGGACUGUUCAUGCCAUCCUCCAUGGGUCAGCCGGCACUGAAAACCGCAGAGGACAAGGAAAUACGCAUGUGCAGCGUGUUGAAGAUGGUGAACAGGUACAUCAUGGCCACUUUGCCUUUUCCAAAGGUGAGGAAGCCCACGAGCCAUGUGAGACCCAGCAGAACGGACCAGCAGGACGAAGGCCGCCACCGUCACGUAGAAGAAGAUGUCGUUCUGCAGCCAGCAGCUAGAUACAAUGCCCCGAGCAGGACACUAUUUUAACUCUUGUUAUUAUCGCGCAGAACUUGAGGAUGUACGCAGGCACGUAUGUGUUGAAGACCUUGACCAGGGCGAAGUGCAUGUGGACGGC